rnacentral:rRNA from 1 species
UACGUAGGGUGCGAGCGUUGUCCGGAAUUAUUGGGCGUAAAGAGCUUGUAGGCGGUUUGUCGCGUCUGCUGUGAAAUCUCAAGGCUCAACCUUGAGCUUGCAGUGGGUACGGGCAGACUAGAGUGUGGUAGGGGAGACUGGAAUUCCUGGUGUAGCGGUGAAAUGCGCAGAUAUCGGGAGGAACACCUAUGGCGAAGGCAGCUCGCUGGGACGUUACUGACGCUGAGACGCGAAAGCGUGGGGAGCAAACAGG